rnacentral:rRNA from 1 species
UACGUAGGCAGCAAGCGUUGUUCGGAGUUACUGGGCGUAAAGGGUGUGUAGGCGGUUGUUUAAGUUUGGUGUGAAAUCUCCCGGCUCAACCGGGAGGGUGCGCCGAAUACUGAAUAACUAGAGUGCGGGAGAGGAAAGUGGAAUUCCUGGUGUAGCGGUGAAAUGCGCAGAUAUCGGGAAGAACACCCGUGGCGAAGGCGGCUCUCUGGGACGGUACUGACGCUGAGACGCGAAAGCGUGGGGAGCGAACAGG